rnacentral:lncRNA from 1 species
CAGGUUCGUACAUAACCCAGAAUUAAAAAAAUCCCAACUUUCCGCUCACUUCAAUAGUUUAGAUCCCAAUUUCAUAUUUUCUGAAUUGUUUGAUUUUACGGUAAAUCUAUUAGCUUCCUAGAUCAAUGAUUACAUGAUUCUAUAAUUCAAAGUUUCCUCCUUUAUCUGAUAAAAACUGUGAAAUGGUUUGAAAUUCAUGUUCCUAAACCGGAAAUUAGGAGCUUUAUGAUACCAAAUUGAUUUGAAAUUGCUGUUUGGGUCAAUGGAGCUUUCUUUGCUAUAAAAUGGUCACUAUACUUUGAAUGGAAAUUGAGUAGCUUUAUGAUUAAUUGAGCUCACUAAACUACUUUAUAAGCCCUGUGGAUAUUGAUUUGUGGAUGGUUAAAAAUGGUUUGGUUUAGGUUCGACAACUACGGCAAGUACGGGCUACUAUGCGGCUCAGACGGAUUACCACACCUGAUAGUGAACGGAGACCAGCGGCAUUGGGGAGAGUUCAUAACUCCAGGCAUUCUCUUCCUCUACAUCGCCGGAUGGAUCGGGUGGGUCGGGAGAAGCUACUUGAUCGCCAUCAGCGGCGAGAAGAAACCGGCCAUGAAAGAGAUCAUCAUCGAUGUUCCUUUGGCUAGUCGCAUCAUCUUCCGUGGUUUCAUCUGGCCAGUUGCUGCUUACAGAGAGCUACUCAAUGGCGAUCUCAUUGCCAAAGAUGUUUAGACAAACCAAAAACCAAAAACAAAAACAUUCUAUAUUGCUCUGUUUUGCUUUGCUUCGCUUCUUCUCUGUUUUUUCCAUUGUAUGUAUUCAAUCUCUGGUUAACU